rnacentral:rRNA from 1 species
GACGAACGUUGGCGGCGUGCUUAAUACAUGCAAGUCAACUGAAGCAGUGGUAGCAAUAUCGCUGUGGAGGUGGCGCACGGGUGAGUAACACGUAGGUAAUCUGCCUUCAGGUCUGGCAUAACUCCGGGAAACCGGGGCUAAUAGCAGAUGAUGCAGCGGCUCGACAUCGAGACAGUUGUUAAAGCUAUGGCGCCUGAAGAUGAGCCUGCGUCUGAUUAGCUAGUUGGCGGGGUAACGGCCCACCAAGGCAACGAUCAGUAGCUGGUCUGAGAGGAUGAUCAGCCACACUGGAACUGAGACACGGUCCAGACUCCUACGGAAGGCAGCAGUAAGGAAUAUUGCUCAAUGGGAGAAAUCCUGAAGCAGCAACGCCGCGUGAGGGACGAAGGGCUUUUGCUUGUAAACCUCUGUAGUGAGAGAAAAAAAUCCCAAUCUUUGGGACAUGAUGGUAUCUCAAAAGUAAGCCCCGGCUAACUACGUG